GAGGAACUCCGAUGGCGAAGGCAGCCCCCUGGGUCAAGAUUGACGCUCAUGCACGAAAGAGUGGGGAGCAAACAAGAUUAGAUACCCUGGUAGUCCACGCCCCAAACGAUGUCUACUAAUCGUCGGGUCUUAAUUGACUUGGUAACGCAGCUAACGCGUGAACUAGACCGCCUGGGGAGUACGGUCGCAAGAUUAAAACUCAAAGGAAUUGACGUGGACCCGCACAAGCGGUGGAUGAUGUGGAUUAAUUUGAUGCAACGCGAAAAACCUUACUUACCCUUGACAUGGCUGGAAUCCUUGAGAGAUCAGGGAGUGCUCGAAAGAGAACCAGUACACAGGUGUUGACAUGGCUGCCGUCAGCUCCUGUCGUGAGAUGUUGGGUAUAAGUCCCGCAACGAGCGCAACCCUUGUCAUUAGUUGCUACGAAAGGGCACUCUAAUGAGACUGCCGGUGACAAACCGGAGCAGGUGGGGAUGACGUCAAGUCCUCAUGGCCCUUAUGGGUAGGGCUUCACACGUCAUACAAUGGUACAUACAGAGCGACGCCAACCCGCG
rnacentral:rRNA from 1 species